CUGCGGGGCUACAGAUUGUUGUUGCUCCUUCUAGAGUAAGACAGUGCCGAUGACCCACCACCAGAAUUUACCCAUUGUUUUCCACUGGGAUCCAGCCUUGCUGAGUUUUUUGGACUUUAUGGUACCCAAGACUGUUGCAGUGCUGCAGUGGGGUGUUGAGCAGCCACAAGAAAACCAAAUCUGAGGGGUGAGAAAAGCCAGGUGUACACAAACCCUAUGGGUGGCAAAGAUACUCAUCCACAAACAUUCCCCAUGGAGCAAGAGGAGAGCCAGCUCUGCCUUUUUAUCAAAACCAGGAAUCAGAAGAAAGGAACCACAACCCACACGAGGUGUUUCCAUAAAAGCUCAGGGUAGACACAUUCAGCAUGGCCUGAAAGAAAAUGAAGAAGUUCUUAAAAUGUUACUGAGCACACUUUAAAAUAUCAUCCUGGGGCAGAAGAAUGAAGUCACUG